UCCUACGGGAGGCAGCAGUGGGGAAUAUUGCGCAAUGGCCGCAAGGCUGACGCAGCGACGCCGCGUGGGGGAUGAAGCAUUUCGGUGUGUAAACCCCUGUUGCCCGGGACGAAC
rnacentral:rRNA from 1 species